rnacentral:SRP_RNA from 1 species
GCCAGGUGUGGCGGCGUGCACCUAUAAUCCCAGCUACUUGGGAGGCUGAGGCAGGGGAAUUGCUUGAACCCAGGAGGCAGAAGUUGCAGUGAGCCGAGAUCACACCACUGUACUCCAGCCUGGGUGACAGAGCAAGAUUCCGUCUCUC